UAACCGUAGCCGAACGACGCACCUGUGUCCGUGUCCGAGGCCCUUGUUUUGCGCAAGUCCGGGAGAGAAUUUGAAAAUCCUUUUUCCGUAAAGAAGCCCUGCUAGUUGGAUGAUCCUGUGGGGUUCGGGUGGAAGAAAGAUUUUUCCUCCCAUGGAUGACGAAUGUUGUGAAGUGUUGCUAAAAAGCUAAAAGUUUGAUGAGAUCUUACCGAAAGUGUUACUGAAGUAGUGAUUGAACGCACCAGCGAAGGAGAUGAAGCAAGUGGUUGUGAACCGAUCUGUGAUUGGUGGGAAAGCCAACGAUGCCAAGAUGGAGGCUGCCGCGACGGUUGCUGGUGCUGAAAUUUUAUCAGAGAUUAAGCUAAAGAGCUGUGGUGCGUAUUGAGGUUAAGGAAGCUCUUGUUCAACGCCUUGAUCGGUGAGCGGAGCUGCGAAACGGUGUGAAAAGGAAUGUUUACGAGUGGUUGUUGGUGCAAAACAGAAGAGGAGGAAAAUAUUUGUAGUACCACCUUAAAGUGACCGAAAGCAGAGCUUAACCGCACUAAAUUUUUAUUGAAUUUUGUGGUCAUCGAUCGGACCUGCAGCGAGAGUUCGGGGUGAGUAGGUGCUGUGCAAACGUUAAAUUGAAUUGAAAAAGGAUUAAAGGUUAAACGAAUAACAGAGAAUUGUGAUUGUGAAACAUACUCGUAUCGUAUCGGGGCCAGAACGAGGCAAAAAGUACGGUGUUUUGGUGUGAUAAGCUGCAAACAAAUAAUAAUCAUAAAACAGAAAACGGUGUGCCCGGUCAAGCGCAAAGUGAUAUCCAUGCCCGUAAAACAAAGGAUCAGUCAGCUGAAAUUAAAAUUAAAAGCGUCCCCAAUCUGGAUUACAAUCAUUGGAUUACGCCGUGAAUUGGGUGGUUUCGGAAAAGGUGCAGUUCGUAGUAGCCGCAAGCCUUUCUGUGGACUAAAUAUCUGUGUGAUAGCGAAAAAAACAGAGAGCUGUGAAGUGCCAAAAAAAGAUUACAUUUUGGCAGAGUGCAUAUCCUAUCUUGGUCGGUGGUUUUGAAACAAUAACAUCAGAAUGCCAGCCGCAGGCGGCACUGCCGAUGAUCAUGGCAUCACGACAAUGUCACGUUCGUCACGAAUUGACCAGUUCCUAGCCGGUGGAAAUUCGCCCUCUUCCCCGACGAUUCGUGGUUCCUCCGGUGGAGCUAGCUCCGGAUCCGCGAGUAGAAGCGGAGGUCGUACUCCAUCCUCCUCCGGAGCGGGCGGUUACGACGGUCAGCUAGGUGCGUUUCCACCGCACAUGAUGAACCCUGCCGGUCAGCAUCACGGCCGAGAGAGUUCGGCAUUCGUGCCGGUGCUACCGUCCCGUUCGUUGCGACCUGGUCUAUAUCCCGGAAUGUUAGACGGACCGGACGGGUUGCCAAAGGAAGGUGUCCCCAAACGGGGUUCCAGUUAUGAACUGAUGGCUAUGAUGGCGGAUAAAAGGAAAGAGAUGGCACUGAGAGAGGCAGCGGCCGCAAUGCUCCUGCCCAGACCGGGAGGUCCACCGGUACAAUCCCCAGGUGGGAUGUAUCACCCUCCAGGAGCCUUUCUUGGAGGGCCAGGCCCGUCACCGACAUCGGCCGGUACGUUCACCUUUCCACCGGCUGGACUUUACCCGCCAGGAGUUCCCGGAAUGCACGCCGGACUAGAUCGAAGGCUGAUGCGAGCUCCCGGUCGAGCAUCACGUCCCAAAAAGCAAUUCAUCUGUAAGUUCUGUUCCCGCCAGUUCACCAAGUCCUACAACCUGCUAAUCCACGAACGCACGCACACCGACGAGCGGCCCUAUUCCUGCGAUAUUUGUGGGAAAGCUUUCCGGCGACAGGACCAUCUAAGAGACCACAGAUACAUCCAUUCGAAGGAAAAGCCAUUCAAAUGCACCGAGUGUGGCAAAGGUUUCUGCCAGUCGCGAACGCUGGCCGUCCACAAGAUUCUGCACAUGGAGGAGUCGCCACACAAGUGCCCGGUUUGCAAUCGCAGUUUUAAUCAACGCUCGAACCUGAAAACACAUCUGCUGACCCAUACGGAUCACAAACCGUACGAAUGUAAUUCCUGUGGAAAGGUGUUCCGAAGAAACUGUGACCUGCGGCGUCACGCUUUAACCCACACGGUCGGAGACGUUCCGGCUGAGUCGUUGGAUGUUGGAGAUGAUGAUCCUAAUCUCAGUGGAGAUGAAGAUGAAGGUGUUUUGGAGGUUGAUUCCCCGGUGCAUUCGCCUGCCGGUCGAAACAGAUCUCCGUCCCCACCAUUAGACAUGCCCGUAUCUGCUGAACUUGAAGAUGACUAUCCACUAGAGCACGACGGAGAGAAUGAUGAAGAUGAAACGAUCAGUGUAGCCGGUCACGAGCCAGAUCCAACACCGGUAGUCCAGUGCCAUCACGAGAGACCCACCGGGUCGAAGAGUCCGUACACUAUGCGGCCACAAUAUGACUAUGGAAGUAGAACUUUCAUGCUGCCACCAUUACCGCCCCACUUGAUGGGACAGAACUGCGGUGGGGAAGAUUUGACCACUGGUGGCCCUGGGCCAGGACUUUCGUCACAGCAUCCACAUGACAUGUUCAUUCCCAUGCUUCACGUUCGAAGGGAUUUACAUCACAAAAUGGGAUUACUCGGUCGAGCUUCAUCCACCAUUACAAGUGGUCUCGUGGAACCUGGUGGCCCAUUCUUCGGUUCCAUUCCAUUGCGGAAACGUGCCAUGGGUCCGGAUGGUGAAGCACACCCAAUCAUGGGCCGCAAUCUGAUGUCCACUCAUCUUUCACCUGCGAUGAUGAAUCAACGUCCGUUAAUGAAACCACCCGAUGAACCCCACAAACCGAGCUCCCAUCCACCGGAUGCUCCCCCUCAUGAAUCAGUUCCAAUGAUGUCCCCAACAUCUCCUCUUCUAUCACCUCACCUUGCCUCGCCCUCCCUACCACUCCAGCUACCUCCACCCCCGCCAACUCAGCUACCCAUCAAUCUCGCCAAUCUACCCUCUUCCGUGGCAAAAUCGUCACCAAAUCCUGUUCACUGUUCAUCAUCAUCGCAGUCAUCAACUACCGUACAAGCCGCACAAUCGUCACCAGCGAUUGUCCCAUCGCCAUCGUCGAUAGCGAACCCACCGCAGCCACCUCCAGCAUCCGUGCUACAACAGCAGCAGCAACAACCGGCCGCGCUGCCAGCGCCACCACCACCACCACCACGUAAGACUGGAUUCAGCAUAGAGGAUAUCAUGCGCCGCUAGACAAAGCAACGAGCGGUACGAACGAACGGUGGAUGUGCCUCCACCGUCUGAAUCAAUCAAUCAACCGGAGACGGUUAAUUAAUGCUAAUGAAUGCUACAAAUGUACAAAAAAAAAUACAAACAAAAUCACCGCAACGACACGUACAAGAACACGACAACCCUCCCCUGCAAGGACGUAACAGUGCCUGUGUGUUUGCGGGGUGAAGAUUUAUACAUACAGCAUCGUAUGGUAGUCGCAGGCAUAAGUAGGGAACAAUGAAUGUAGAGUACGUAUCUGAACAGAACAUGCUAAGUUUAGUAAGCGUUUGGGUUGUGGAUGGACGCAGCGAAAAGAAUGAAUCGUACUGGACGAAACUUGAUAGUUUUAAGGAUUAUUCUCUGUGCAAGCUCUGCGUGAUGCUUUUGAAAAGAAGAAAAGCUGAACAAUAUAAUAAAAUUGGUCUUUUGUGCGAGUGAUGAAUAGAAAAAAUCGAAAUCAUUGGCAACGCUGAGAAUUGCCCUGCAAUCGAAUUGUACAGCAAGUGGGGAUAAUAACAACGAAAGACAGUGUUAGUGAUAUAUAAAGUAAGGAUUAAGAUUAUAGGUUUAUGCAGACGUGCUGAAUUUAUAACGGUUGGAUCUGGUAAUUUCUAGAUUUCAUGUAUUUACUUUUAGUCUUAAAACACUGUUUCUAACUCCGUUCAAAAUGGCGUCAUUUCAUGUAAAUUUGCCAUCGUUAUUUUAGAUCAAUACAAUACCUAGGUUAAGAAGGAAACUCAGCUGUUUACAAUAGAAUAAAUCAUGCCUAAUCUCAGAUUAACGCUAGUAAGGCGAGUUAAGUUUAAGUUAUUUGUGAUUUGUUUAAGCAGUUAUAAUUCAUUCCACGUUUCACAAACGGGAAUCCAACGAACAGCGGCCAAUUGUACUUAUCUGGAUGAAAACGAUUUUGUCAAAUAAAUAUAAAAAGUUUGAAAAUUUAUUUUGAAUACGAAACAAAA